UACGUAGGUGGCAAGCGUUGUCCGGAAUUAUUGGGCGUAAAGCGCGCGCAGGCGGUCCUUUAAGUCUGAUGUGAAAGCCCUCGGCUCAACCGAGGAGGGUCAUUGGAAACUGGAGGACUUGAGUGCAGAAGAGGAAAGUGGAAUUCCAAGUGUAGCGGUGAAAUGCGUAGAGAUUUGGAGGAACACCAGUGGCGAAGGCGACUUUCUGGUCUGUAACUGACGCUGAGGCGCGAAAGCGUGGGGAUCAAACGGG
rnacentral:rRNA from 1 species